AGUCGUUGUCACUAUCAAGAUGGAUAUUUCGAGAGGGAUAUUUUACAUUUGUAUCUGACAAUCACUGUGCAGGGAGGCUUAAAUUCUCAUGAUGGGACUUUCUAAACCAAGGGUAACGCUGUGUAGCAUAAAGUGGCCCUGCCUUCUGUGUGUCAAGAGCUUGCCACUUUGUGUUGAAGCACUUCGUCAUCAUCACAUUCAUUGCAUGUUACCUGUAGAGGACCAUAUACAUACUAAUGACUCAGCAAUUCCACAUUGUAUAAGUGGGUGCAAAGAGGGGUACAGCGGAUCAUACUGCAGCGUGACAUGUCCUAAGAACUGCAUAAGGUGUGAUCGAAAGAAGCGGUAUUGCGACGUCUGCCGCGAUGGAUAUUUCGAUGGCAACUGUACGUCGAUGUGUCUUCACUGUGAAAAGUGUAAUUCUACAGGUGAUUGUAUAAAUCGAACUGAGCAGUCAACGACACCACCCACUGAUUUCAAUGGUACAAACAAGUCAUCGAUGCCUCCGUACAUCAUUGGCCUCAUUGUAAUCUUUCCCCUUUUAACGGGACCACCACUAGCAUACUUCGCAUACAGAUAUGUACAAGCG